UCAUGAAAUGAUGAUAGUAUAAUACGUUUCCCUAUUGGUUUGAUUGCCGGAAUGAUGGCAUCAUUUCGUAUUAGCUCUAUCUGAUCAUUU
rfam:Ricinus communis ctg_1100012350735, whole genome shotgun sequence.